rnacentral:rRNA from 1 species
UCGGGUUGUAAACUGCUUUUGUACGGAACGAAAAGCCUGGGGCUAAUAUCCCGGGGUCAUGACGGUACCGUAAGAAUAAGCACCGGCUAACUACGUGCCAGCAGCCGCGGUAAUACGUAGGGUGCAAGCGUUAAUCGGAAUUACUGGGCGUAAAGCGUGCGCAGGCGGUUUUGUAAGACAGUGGUGAAAUCCCCGGGCUCAACCUGGGAACUGCCAUUGUGACUGCAAGGCUAGAGUGCGGCAGAGGGGGAUGGAAUUCCGCGUGUAGCAGUGAAAUGCGUAGAUAUGCGGAGGAACACCGAUGGCGAAGGCAAUCCCCUGGGCCUGCACUGACGCUCAUGCACGAAAGCGUGGGGAGCAAACAGGAUUAGAUACCCUGGUAGUCCACGCCCUAAACGAUGUCAAACUGGUUGUU